rnacentral:rRNA from 1 species
UACGUAGGGGGCAAGCGUUGUCCGGAAUUACUGGGCGUAAAGCGUGCGCAGGCGGCGCGUUAAGACAGGUGUGAAAGCCCCGAGCUUAACUUGGGAAUUGCGCUUGUGACUGGCGUGCUGGAGUGUGGCAGAGGGGGAUGGAAUUUACGGUGUAGCAGUGAAAUGCGUAGAUAUCGUAAGGAAGACCAGUGGCGAAGGCGAAUCUCUGGACAAUUACUGACACUGAGGCACGAAGGCCAGGGGAGCAAACGGG